GCCAAAUUAAAAAGGCACUUACAACGAUAACCCGUGACUGUUCAUAUAGCAAAGGGGAACAAGGGGCUAAGGGUUUCUUCCUCCGAGUUACACUGAAAAUUUGGGGAGAGGCAAAAGGGAGAUAUAUUCAUAACCCCAUUGGCACCGAUUUAUCUUAUGUUGCUGUGAUUUCCACCCAGCUUCUUCAUCAACACAAUUAGAAGUGAACAAAUCAGCAGCUGAUUGAUGGAUCCUGACAGCAAGAAGUUUGGAAAAGGUGAGACCUUUCAAAUAUUAUUUUUCAUGCCUCCCUGCACCAUUUGUAUGAUAUGACAUGUACAUUGUUACUACACUGUUGAGAUAUGUAUCAGACCUUGUUAUUAUUAUUUUUAUUUUUUAAAUUUGGAUAUUUGUUCCCUUUUGCAAAUAUUGUUGCAAAAAUGCAACUGGCACAAGUUACGUUAUCAUUGAACAGUAGUUUAUGGUGCUAUCACAUAUCUAUAUACAUAUAUCGAUAUGCAUAUACAUUGUGUCCUCUUCAUGGCGUUGGUCAUUUUCAAUAAUUUCCAACAAUAUGUAAGCCAUUCUAGUAUUGAAAUUGGAUUUUGAAUUGUAGCUACAUAUUAUUAGAUGAGCUGAUAAGGUCUUGUUAUUGAGAAUAAAAUAAUCAUAUAUUGGCGGAGUAGACUGGCUGGAUCACCAUUCAAGUUGAAGAUAUUGGCCUCACUAGGAAUGCUACCGAUGGAAAAGGAAUUGUUCAUGUAGGGGUCAAUUUUGAAAAUCUUCAUUAUGACAUCACAUCAGUGUGAUAUAAUUUAGGAAACUGCAGUAUUUUAGGCCAUUUGCAGUGUCCUGGAAUGUUUCGCUUUAUUUUUUGUUGGAAGAUUAAUUGCAUUCAUUCCAAAAUUAUUAUGAUUACUUCUUGAUUGAACGGCUUGGAAAUCCUAGAUCCAUCGAAUUGAGUGAUGACAAGUAGAAUAUAGCCUCAUUGGGGGG